rnacentral:rRNA from 1 species
AGAGGGCGUGAAACCGCUUAGAAGGAAACGAGAGGCGCCGCAAGUUACCAGUCAGAUUCAGCUAUUUCUUAAUUGACUUUAGUGCAUUUCUGACUGGUGUGCACCGGGUGCAGUGCUCUAUUGUGCAUUUGGCCAUUGGUAGGGAGGCACUUCUGUGUUUGCCAGUGGUUCUUUGUGCAAUUGGUACUGUCAUCAGCAGUGUCCUGAAUUGAUCGGCUGCGGGUAGCGCCAAUCCUGUGUUUGCGACCUAGAUUUUUAAUCUAACGCAUAACGGGCGUGUGCGUGUUCCAUGUGGUCGAAUAGACACGUUCUCGGUGUUAAUGUCGGCUACCCUCCCGACCCGUCUUGAAACACGGACCAAGGAGUCUAACAUGUGCGCAAGUCUUUGGGUCUGUUAAACCUAUAGGCGCAAUGAAAGUGAAGGUCGGCUCGGUCGCCUGACACACGACCCUUUCAGCUUGCUGUUUGGUGCAGUGUGGUCCCAUCUUGGAUGCUCGUCAUCGAGGUGGAGAUUGAGCGUACAUGUUGGGACCCGAAAGAUGGUGAACUAUGCCUGAACAGGAUGAAGCCAGAGGAAACUCUGGUGGAAGUCCGAAACGGUUCUGACGU